AGUGAACGCUGGCGGUAGGCCUAACACAUGCAAGUCGAACGGCAGCACAGUAAGAGCUUGCUCUUACGGGUGGCGAGUGGCGGACGGGUGAGGAAUACAUCGGAAUCUACUUUUUCGUGGGGGAUAACGUAGGGAAACUUACGCUAAUACCGCAUACGACCUACGGGUGAAAGCAGGGGAUCUUCGGACCUUGCGCGAUUGAAUGAGCCGAUGUCGGAUUAGCUAGUUGGCGGGGUAAAGGCCCACCAAGGCGACGAUCCGUAGCUGGUCUGAGAGGAUGAUCAGCCACACUGGAACUGAGGCACGGUCCAGACUCCUACGGGAGGCAGCAGUGGGGAAUAUUGGACAAUGGGCGCAAGCCUGAUCCAGCCAUACCGCGUGGGUGAAGAAGGCCUUCGGGUUGUAAAGCCCUUUUGUUGGGAAAGAAAAGCAGCAGGUUAAUACCCCGCUGUUCUGACGGUACCCAAAGAAUAAGCACCGGCUAGCUUCGUG
rnacentral:rRNA from 1 species